CUUAUUUGACAAAUAAGUAAUAAAAUAAAGAAAAGAAAAUAUCAUCUUUUCUUCAUCUUCUCUCCACCGAAAAUGGCAGCAAAGAAAGGGUUUAGAAGCUGGAAACUUUCAGCAAAGAAACUCCCUUUAUAAUGAUGAAAAUCGAGAUUUGGACCUAGAACGGAAAGAAAUCGAUUAAGGGAUAAUUACGUCUUUUUUUUCACCUUUGUGGUAUCGAGAGUUUCCAGGUUAGCUCGGGUUGGAGGCCGUCAGAGAUAUUAUCACACUGUCAAGCUAACGCUAUUGGUGUAGUGAUUUCAAGUACUUUGAGCCUAUGGCAUGUAUAGGAGUUUAAAUAUUAGAGUAUGUGAUAUGGCUUUAACCAUAUGUGUUGGCCUAUUUUGAUUAUGAGAUUGUAAAUCUAAGCUACCCAGCUCCUUAUUUAUGUGGGAGCCAUAAAUGUUUUAAUCCUAUUUGCUGUGAUGUUCAUGAAUAGUUCAGAAUAUUAUAAAGAUUUUAAUCUGUGGACCA